rnacentral:rRNA from 1 species
CGGUGACAGGUGGUGCAUGGUUGUCGUCAGCUCGUGUCGUGAGAUGUUGGGUUAAGUCCCGCAACGAGCGCAACCCUCGACCUUAGUUGCCAGCAUUCAGUUGGGCACUCUAAGGUGACUGCCGGCUAAAAGUCGGAGGAAGGUGGGGAUGACGUCAAAUCAUCAUGCCCCUUACUGACCUGGGCUACACACGUGCUACAAUGGGCGGUACAAAGGGUCGCGAACCCGCGAGGGGGAGCCAAUCCCAAAAAGCCGCUCUCAGUUCGGAUUGCAGGCUGCAACUCGCCUGCAUGAAGCCGGAAUCGCUAGUAAUCGCGGAUCAGCAUGCCGCGGUGAAUACGUUCCCGGGCCUU